CUGCAACCCGACCUGCAUGAAGUCGGAAUUGCUAGUAAUCGCGGAUCAGCAUGCCGCGGUGAAUACGUUCCCGGGCCUUGUACACACCGCCCGUCACACCAUGAGAGCCGUCAAUGCCCGAAGUCCGUAGCCUAACCGAAAGGAGGGCGCGGCCGAAGGCAGGGGUGGUAAUUAGGGUGAAGUCGUAACAAGGUAAC
rnacentral:rRNA from 1 species